AUGGUUCAGAAGCGGAACUUCCUUAACAAUCUGAGGAGAGGUUUAGGUAUUGUUUCCAAUUUCCCUCGUUGGUACAUUACAGAGGUACUUCUACUUCCGAAUUCGAGAAGUCCUUCUCGAAAGAGUCAUCUAAGGAUUUUCGACUUCAACUUGUCUUUAAGCCGGCCAGGCCAGUCUACUUCUUCAAGUGAGGACUUGCUCGACCCAGCUCGGUUCUCUCACUACCCGAAAUCCUUAUCUUAUAUAAUAUGGAUCCGAGAAUUUCCCUUAAGAUCCAGUGCCUGCAGAAGUAAAGUGAUAGGAGAAGCUGCUGGUGGGAAAUAUCUAUUCAUCACACCCUUCUCACCCGAGCCUCAUGGAAAGAACCUUGGUCUCCAAUCUGCAGAUGAGUGUCUUCCCUCUUAUCCCUUCCCCAUUGUUUGGGUUUAA